GCCCCUGCGUGGUACGGUUAACAUACUCUGUUGCUAACUGAAAGGUUGGUGGUUUGAGUCCACCCAGAGGCA
rnacentral:tRNA from 1 species